rnacentral:tRNA from 1 species
ACCUGGCUGGCUCAGUUGGUAGAGCAUGUAACUCUUGAUUCUGUGUUGUGGAUUUGAGCCCCACGUUGGGUG